ensembl:lncRNA
GUUUCAGUGCAUUCUGUUGAUGUAGACGGCGUGAAAACGGAAACAACAAGUAUGCCGGCUCACUGUGCUGCAUACAGUUACACACUACGUCGUACGAUUGAGACAAGGAAACUUGGAAUGACUUUUCAUAGGUUUCCCAGAGACUGUGGGUUGAGGAGGAAUUGGAAGUUUGUCGGCUUAGACCUGGUGUCAUUCCAUCAGUGUUAAACUUCCCGGCUCAUCUUGGAAGAGUACGUGCCAGAAAGACCACGACCAAGCAGCCUUGAGAUCUUAGGCAGCGUCUCCCUCAGAUGUAGUGAGAGACAGACAGGAAACAAGAGUCGGAGGAGGACUUGCAGCAAAGGGCCACAAGCAGGACUCGAACCCGGGACGCUGCAUCAGGAACCAGCCCCUGUACAUGGGUCAC